rnacentral:rRNA from 1 species
CAUGCAAGUCGAACGGUAGAGGGGGCACCCCUUGAGAGUGGCGAACGGGUGAGUAAUAUAUCGGAACGUGCCCAGUCGUGGGGGAUAACGUAGCGAAAGUUACGCUAAUACCGCAUACGAUCUAAGGAUGAAAGCGGGGGAUCGCAAGACUCGCGCCGACUGGAGCGGCCGAUAUCAGAUUAGGUAGUUGGUGGGGUAAAGGCUCACCAAGCCAACGAUCUGUAGCUGGUCUGAGAGGACGACCAGCCACACUGGAACUGAGACACGGUCCAGACUCCUACGGGAGGCAGCAGUGGGGAAUUUUGGACAAUGGACGCAAGUCUGAUCCAGCCAUUCCGCGUGCAGGAUGAAGGCCCUCGGGUUGUAAACUGCUUUUGUACGGAACGAAAAGGUCUCUCCUAAUACGAGGGGCUCAUGACGGUACCGUAAGAAUAAGCACCGGCUAGCUACGUGCCAGCAGCCGCGGUAAAUACGUAGGGUGCAAGCGUUAAUCGGAAUUACUGGGCGUAAAGCGU